UUGACCCUUGUGCUUGUUUCGGC
ensembl:miRNA mir-2217.2 ncRNA